UCCCCGCGUUGCUCUCUCGGUCCAGUUCUGCUGCCGGCCAACCGAGCUGUGUGCGGCUUCCACCUGGGCUACCUGGACGGCGAGGUGGAGCUGGUCAGUGGUGUGGUGGCCCGCCUCGUGGCUCUGUACAACCAGGGCCACAUCAAACCCCGUAUCGACUCCGUGUGGCCCUUUGAGAAGGUGGCGGAUGCCAUGAGGCAGAUGCAGGAGAAGAAGAACAUAGGCAAAGUCCUCCUAGUGCCUGGACCGGAGAAGGAGAACUAGGCUGGGGGCUGGGAGACCCCUGGGGCCCGGGAAGAGAGAAGCUGGGAAGCCAUGUGCUGUUGGCCACCAGAUCCUCGCAGUUCAUCCUCCAUCACAAUGCGCUGCCCUCUCUUCCCCAAAGGUCUCCGUGGUGAUGACAGCCCCCCAACCCCCAACCUGUUCUCUCUCUUUAGUCAGGGCCUCCCCCUCCCCCCUUCCUGCCCUCCAAAGGGGUUGGGAAGUGACCACUUGGAUGUCUGGGCCCUUCCAAGGGGACAGGGAGGGUCAGAGGGAGGCUGGCCGCUUCCUGCUCCCACCCUUUCCCCCCGGGCCUGCUGUGCUGCUUUUGUGCCAAGGUUAGCCAAUCCCUUCCCGUCCAGUUCCGGUGUGCUUCCGUCUCCGCCUCAUCUCCCCUCCUGCCCCUGCCCCACACCUCCCCAAAGAAUCGAAAUGUCAGCUCAGGAUAUGGGGCCAGUCUGUGUGAAUCCAGCAUGUCCCUCUGUCGCCCCUAGUGUCCCUUCGACUUGGGCCAGCCAGCGCCCACCUUGUCCCAUGGCCUCGUCCUCGUGUCUCCAACUUCUUGAGCACAAUCGGGCUUCUCCCACCUCCAGAUGUCCUGCCGCUCUCAACCAGGGGUACCUCUUCCAGCAGGGGUGGAAGUCAGCUCUGCUCCCCUAGGUCACCGCUCUGUGGGAGGGACAUGGAGGCCCCUCACCCUUCACUGAGUUCUCUGGAUUUGUUCUCAGUGCCUUAGCAGCGGAAACCUUGCUAGGGUAUGUGGGGCUCCCUGUCUCACACCCCCGUUCCCCUGUCCUCCCCAGUGCCUUCCUUGUUCUGCUGGAGCUGGGGUUUUGCUGCUCCCCAGUCCCACAACACUGCCAAAAAUCUGCGUGUGUGCCGGUGGGCCCGUGCCAUGUCCUGUCUCUGGGGCUGUCGUUUCUCUGUGGUGGUUGAGGAGAAAGAGGCGGGGAAGCUUUCUCAGCCUUGCAGCUAAGUGUGGCAUUUACCAGCCAGAGCUCUGAGAGGCAAUGCCAUCUGUCUCUUAUUCUGGGACCAAAGUAAAAAUCAAAGCACAUUCCCCAUGUAGUCAAGGGAGGCCCACUGCCUUCUCAGAGCAGGGAGGCAGCUUUUCAAACUCAGCCCCAAACUUUGUUUACAUGGGUGGGGAGAUGGAACAGGGGAUCAAAACAGGGGUUUAGGACCUGGGCCACUGGAACCAAAGUGGAGACUUCCAGGGGGUAGGGGCCUGAGUCCCUCAGCUCUUGGAUCUGGAAUUAGGGAGGGUUAGUGCCCGAGCCAUUGCCAAUGGGAGGGAGGGGAGGGGCCCCGCCCAACAUCGUCUGAAUGAGGCCUGAACGUGUGAAGUUCGAGUUUCGGCUUUUGUGUACCCACCCCCAUUACCGAAGCUGCCUUUGUGUUUGUGUCAAUAAAAAGCCAAACCC
rnacentral:lncRNA from 1 species